AUUGAACGCUGGCGGCAGGCUUAACACAUGCAAGUCGAGCGGGGGAAGGUAGCUUGCUACCGGACCUAGCGGCGGACGGGUGAGUAAUGCUUAGGAAUCUGCCUAUUAGUGGGGGACAACAUCUCGAAAGGGAUGCUAAUACCGCAUACGUCCUACGGGAGAAAGCAGGGGAUCUUCGGACCUUGCGCUAAUAGAUGAGCCUAAGUCAGAUUAGCUAGUUGGCGGGGUAAAGGCCUACCAAGGCGACGAUCUGUAGCGGGUCUGAGAGGAUGAUCCGCCACACUGGGACUGAGACACGGCCCAGACUCCUACGGGAGGCAGCAGUGGGGAAUAUUGGGCAAUGGGGGGAACCCUGAUCCAGCCAUGCCGCGUGUGUGAAGAAGGCCUUAUGGUUGUAAAGCACUUUAAGCGAGGAGGAGGCUACUUUAGUUAAUACCUAGAGAUAGUGGACGUUACUCGCAGAAUAAGCACCGGCUAACUCUGUGCCAGCCGCCGCCGUAA
rnacentral:rRNA from 1 species